AACAUUCAUUGCUGUCGGUGGGUUUUAGGUUCAGUCAGCUCUCUGACCAAUGAAUGCAAA
rnacentral:pre_miRNA from 1 species